CUAGCAUGUGCAAGCAUUGUACUUCACAGGUGUAUCUCUAUCCCCAUUGUACUUCACAGGUAUAACCCUAUCCCCAUUGUACUUCACAGGUAUAUCCCUAUCCCCAUUGUACUUCACAGGUAUAUCCCUAUCCCCAUUGUACUUCACAGGUAUAUCCCUAUCCCCAUUGUACUUCACAGGUAUAUCCCUAUCCCCAUUGUACUUCACAGGUAUAUCCCUAUCCCCAUUGUACUUCACAGGUAUAUCCCUAUCCCCAUUGUACUUCACAGGUAUAUCCCUAUCCCCAUUCUCAUUGUACUUCACAGGUAUAUCCCUAUCCCCAUUGUACUUCACAGGUAUAUCCCUAUCCCCAUUGUACUUCACAGGUAUAUCCCUAUCCCCAUUCUCAUUGUACUUCACAGGUAUAUCCCUAUCCCCAUUGUACUUCACAGGUAUAUCCCUAUCCCCAUUGUACUUCACAGGUAUAUCCCUAUCCCCAUUCUCAUUGUACUUCACAGGUAUAUCCCUAUCCCCAUUGUACUUCACAGGUAUAUCCCUAUCCCCAUUGUACUUCACAGGUAUAUCCCUAUCCCCAUUCUCAUUGUACUUCACAGGUAUAUCCCUAUCCCCAUUGUACUUCACA